rnacentral:rRNA from 1 species
UAGGGAAUCUUCGGCAAUGGGGGCAACCCUGACCGAGCAACGCCGCGUGAGUGAAGAAGGUUUUCGGAUCGUAAAGCUCUGUUGUAAGAGAAGAACGAGUGUGAGAGUGGAAAGUUCACACUGUGACGGUAACUUACCAGAAAGGGACGGCUAACUACGUGCCAGCAGCCGCGGUAAUACGUAGGUCCCGAGCGUUAUCCGGAUUUAUUGGGCGUAAAGCGAGCGCAGGCGGUUAGAUAAGUCUGAAGUUAAAGGCUGUGGCUUAACCAUAGUACGCUUUGGAAACUGUUUAACUUGAGUGCAGAAGGGGAGAGUGGAAUUCCAUGUGUAGCGGUGAAAUGCGUAGAUAUAUGGAGGAACACCGGUGGCGAAAGCGGCUCUCUGGUCUGUAACUGACGCUGAGGCUCGAAAGCGUGGGGAGCAAACAGGAUUAGAUACCCUGGUAGUCCACGCCGUAAACGAUGAGUGCUAGGUGUUGGGUCCUUUCCGGGACUCAGUGCCGCAGCUAACGCAUUAAGCACUCCGCCUGGGGAGUACGACCG